AAGGAAGGAGUAGCUGUUAAUAGCUCAGUGUUCUUGGGUUUAGUAGCGUCAAAUGAGACGUCCGCAGCAUCCUAUGGUUACAUACCACCAGAAGAGCUCAAGUCUAAAGUUCUUCCGACCGUGACGGAAUCUUCAAACUUCGGAGGAGUCAUGCUCUGGAACAGGUACUAUGACAAGAAAACAGGUUACAGCACUGAGAUAAAGGAUGCCUUGGGCACAAAAGUUUUUGAAUGCGCACGCCAGGUUCUUGCAUCAAGGAGAUUCAACAGUCUCUU